rnacentral:rRNA from 1 species
GCCUACGGGGGGCAGCAGUGGGGAAUAUUGCACAAUGGGGGAAACCCUGAUGCAGCGACGCCGCGUGAGUGAAGAAGUAUUUCGGUAUGUAAAGCUCUAUCAGCAGGGAAGAAGAAAGACGGUACCUGACUAAGAAGCCCCGGCUAACUCCGUGCCAGCAGCCGCGGUAAUACGGAGGAUGCGAGCGUUAUCCGGAUUUAUUGGGUUUAAAGGGUGCGUAGGCGGGAUGCCAAGUCAGCGGUAAAAAUGCGGUGCUCAACGCCGUCGAGCCGUUGAAACUGGCGUUCUUGAGUGGGCGAGAAGUA